rnacentral:SRP_RNA from 1 species
GCUGGGCAUGGUGGUGCAUGCCUGUAAUCCCAGCUACUCGGGAGGCUGAGGCAGGAGAAUCACUUGAACCGGGAAGGCAGAGGUUGCAGUGAGCUGACAUUGUGCCACUGCACUUUAGCCUGGGCAACAAAGUGAGACUCUGUCUCAA